rnacentral:rRNA from 1 species
GUCCACGCCCUAAACGAUGUCUACUAGUUGUCGGGUCUUAAUUGACUUGGUAACGCAGCUAACGCGUGAAGUAGACCGCCUGGGGGAGUACGGUCGCAAGAUUAAAACUCAAAGGAAUUGACGGGGGCCCGCACAAGCGGUGGAACAUGUGGUUUAAUUCGACACUACGCGAGGAACCUUACCUAGGCUUGACAUGCAUUUGACAGCUCUAGAAACAGAGUCUUCAAGGCUUCGGUCUUGACAGAUGCACAGGUGCUGCAUGGCUGUCGU